rnacentral:rRNA from 1 species
UCGCCGCCCGUGACUCGGAAAAAAGUCCAUUGAACCUUAUCAUUUAGAGGAAGGAGAAGUCGUAACAAGGUUUCCGUAGGUGAACCUGCGGAAGGAUCAUUG